rnacentral:rRNA from 1 species
GAAUUCGCCCUUAGAGUUUGAUCCUGGCUCAGGACGAACGCUGGCGGCGCGCCUAACACAUGCAAGUCGAACGAGCGAGAGAGAGCUUGCUUUCUCGAGCGAGUGGCGAACGGGUGAGUAACGCGUGAGGAACCUGCCUCAAAGAGGGGGACAACAGUUGGAAACGACUGCUAAUACCGCAUAAGCCCACGGCUCGGCAUCGAGCAGAGGGAAAAGGAGCAAUCCGCAUUGAGAUGGCCUCGCGUCCGAUUAGCUAGUUGGUGAGGUAAUGGCCCACCAAGGCAACGAUCGGUAGCCGGACUGAGAGGUUGAACGGCCACAUUGGGACUGAGACACGGCCCAGACUCCUACGGGAGGCAGCAGUGGGGAAUAUUGCACAAUGGGGGAAACCCUGAUGCAGCGACGCCGCGUGGAGGAAGAAGGUCUUCGGAUUGUAAACUCCUGUUGUUGAGGAAGAUAAUGACGGUACUCAACAAGGAAGUGACGGCUAACUACGUGCCAGCAGCCGCGGUAAAACGUAGGUCACAAGCGUUGUCCGGAAUUACUGGGUGUAAAGGGAGCGCAGGCGGGAAGACAAGUUGGAAGUGAAAUCUAUGGGCUCAACCCAUAAACUGCUUUCAAAACUGUUUUUCUUGAGUAGUGCAGAGGUAGGCGGAAUUCCCGGUGUAGCGGUGGAAUGCGUAGAUAUCGGGAGGAACACCAGUGGCGAAGGCGGCCUACUGGGCACCAACUGACGCUGAGGCUCGAAAGUGUGGGUAGCAAACAGGAUUAGAUACCCUGGUAGUCCACACCGUAAACGAUGAUUACUAGGGGGUUGAAGGAAUUGACCCCCUCAGUGCCCCAGUUAACACA